rnacentral:rRNA from 1 species
UACGUAGGUGGCAAGCGUUGUCCGGAAUUAUUGGGCGUAAAGCGCGCGCAGGCGGUCCUUUAAGUCUGAUGUGAAAGCCCACGGCUCAACCGUGGAGGGUCAUUGGAAACUGGGGGACUUGAGUACAGAAGAGGAAAGCGGAAUUCCACGUGUAGCGGUGAAAUGCGUAGAGAUGUGGAGGAACACCGGUGGCGAAGGCGGCAUCCUGGACCGGCAUUGACGCUGAGGCGCGAAAGCCAGGGGAGCAAACGGGG